CUCUUGUUUAAAUACACUAUGAACAGCAGAUGCGCUAAUUAUUUUCCUUGUUCCCUAUUUCCACCUGGGGAUAUUCAUCCAGAGGCCUCUAGAGAUCGUGACCUGUGAAGAGAUGAUGCCACCAUAGAGGACUUCUAAAUGUAUCCAUAAUCCUGAAACAGACCGUAUCAUGAGCAGAUGCUGUGGUGGUCAUGGAGAAGUGGAGAGCAUGAGACUGAUUAAUGAAAGACCCCAGUGACAGAUGAGUGCCCACAUUGACCCUGUGGUCCAGCCUGAAAACCAGCUGGUGACCUACUCACACCUGCAGCUUCUCCACGAUGGACGCCCAAUGUUUGCCUCAAGCGCCUAGACUGCAGCUCUGCACGUGAAGUGUGGCCAGAAGAGAAAUGGUUGUGCCCAACUGAGCCUAGUUUCUCUCAAGGAGCUAAAGUCUACAGCCAGUCUGAAUGCAGCAACUGAAUAAACAGUGGGGUCAUUUUUGUGGUUGAAUUGCAUUAUUAAAAAUAAAAGUGUGGAUAUUUA
ensembl:lincRNA